ensembl:lncRNA
UUUUUUUUUUUUUUUUUGUCUUUUUUUGUCUUUUUGUCUCUUUAGGGCCGCACCCCCUGGGAACCUCCAUAUGCCGUGGGAGCGGCCCAAGAAAUGACAAAAAGACAAAAAAAAAAAAAAAAAAACUGCAAGCUCAUUUUAAAGCACUGUAGGGUUGCUGCCAGCUUUGGUGGUCAUGGCCAGAUAGAGGCUUUAGAAGGAGUUCUCUGUGUGUAGCUCUGACUGCUUGGCAGGGAUUGUUUGUGUCCGAGGAAAAGCGCCUUCUCUCAAAAUGGUUCUCUACAUAGAACUUUCUUUAGCUGUUGUGCUCAUUUUUGGCUCGCAGUUUUCCAUAUCACCCUCCAACCUCUCUUUCUGUAGAUGACAUGCUUUGUCUUCGCAAGUAUUUCUGGAGAAGGAAUUCUGUCAGCCCCAAGGUCUCUACCAUGGACCCCAGGGCUGCCUCCCCUUAGUCUGCUCUGCUGAGCCUCUUAGACGUGCCAGCGUCACCGCAUAGUCUUCUUUGUUCUACUGCAGUGAUCAUCACUACUAGUGUCUUAGUCUUCUCAGCCAACAUCUAACACAAAGAUAGCUGUUAAGAUUUACAAAGGCCUUAAAAUAUGAAUACUUCAUAAACAAACUGUGGGAUGCUCCUCUUAAACAGAAUGUGUUUUAAGUCAAAUUCAGCCCACACCUGUGUAUUUGUGAUGGAAAAUACUAAUAUUCAGAUGAUUAAUAACCGCAAUAAUCUUUAUUUUCUAUUUUCUAUCACAAUUGUAAGAACUGUGAUCUUCUAUUUUAGAGAAAGCUGCAACUCAGUAGUUGAAAUGUUUUUGGCAUAUUAUAUAUAAAAAAAAUUUUUGCCUUGAAAAACCUUUGAACUGUGUAUGCAGAAGCAUUAAUAUAAACUCUUGGAAUAGAUCAUGAAGGAAUAUAAUACAAGGAAAAGAAUAUAUAUGUAUGAGUGGGUCACUUUGCUGUACAGCAGAAAUUGGCACAAUACUGUAAAUCAACUAUAAGUUUUUUAGAAAGAUUUUUAAAAAGCAUUAAUAUGAAGUGUUCAAAAUGGAAAGCCUUGCCUUUCUGCCCCAAAUGGAAUAGUAAUUCAGCUAUAUGCUACCAUGACCUUGUAGGGUAGUACCUAACACAUCCUUUCCAUUUAUUUAUUAAAGUUUGGUUUUUUCCAUGAUAUGUUUUAUUUAACUGUAUGAACUUGUUGAGGUCAUUCAUCAUAGUUAGUGACAUGCAGACACUUGCUAAUUGCACUACUUAAACUCUAAGCACGGUGCCUACAGAGGUCACAUUUCUGGAACCUGUGGGCUCCACCCUCAGUCUGUCCUGACUGGUCCCUGGCGGUGACUUCCACUCACACCAAAGCUGAAUCACACAGCCGCACCAGUACCAUGGGGUCACCAGUGAGGAAGGAUGCUGGGAAUUACAUCCCUGGCCACCUCCUGGCAAGAGGGUGAGAAGAUAUCCAAGCACAGCAUAAAUCUACAUGGAGGCUGAGGUCACCUCUGUCUCCUUUGUAGCUAAGAGCUCAAAAAAUGUUUGCUCUCAUCAUAGGAAAUGAUACUGUGCUGGGUGUGGAAGAACCUGGUGUGUGUGUGGCGGGUGGUGGUGUCAAGUUUACCUGGACUGACUGGGAAGGCCCAGGAAAGAGCCCUUUGAGGAGGGACUUAAAUGAAGAGGCAGCACCAGCCUGCAAAUCUCCAGGAGACACUUUCCAAAGAAAACAUCUUUGGCAAAGAAAAGGAUGAACUUGGUAUGUUCCGGGAGCAGAAAGGGAGCUGAUAUGGUUUAGGCUCCUUGACCCCAGGGCCCUGGUGGAAGAUGAACCCAGAGGAUGCAGGCAGCUUUAUUCCAUUCUGAAGCCUUCAGAGGGUGGGUCUGAUCUGAUAUGUGCUCAGAAAAGAAGGCUCUGGCUGCUCUGGAUGACAAGGUCUGUGGAAGAGCAGGAGCUGGAGGCAAGUUAACGAGGCUGUUUCAGGAAUCCAGACUGGGAAGGCUGGUGAUCUGGACAAGCAUGCUAGAGAGGAGGUGGCGAAAAGUAGGGCAAUGCAGGGUCUGUUUUGAAGGUGCCGACGGCUGGGCAUGGGAUGGCGGAAGAAAGGGAGUCAGGGAUGACUGUAGUUUGAUGGCUGCUCAGUUACUGAGGUGGGGUGACCAGGAAGCAUAGAGUUUAAGUUGAGAGUUCUGGCACAUCCUGGUUAAGACAGAAGUGCCCAUGAAGUGCUGAGCUGGAGAAACCCACCUGGAUGUAAACUUGUAGUAGAGGAGAGAAAUCAAGACAAGAGAACCAGGCACUGUGCCCUGAAGGGAUUAUCUUCUUUAUUCUUCAGAAAAAUGCUUUGGAUAGGAAACACUUAGCUGUUAAAAGCAGAAAUUAGUGAAUGCCACUUUUUAAAGUUGAAGGGAUUUUCUUUCUACAUGUAAUAGAUAAACCAAUGGAAGAGAAGAGAAAAUUCCAAAUAUAUACAGAAUUUCAUAAAUAACAUACAUAUUUCAAAGCAGUGGGGAAAGAUUAACCAUUCAAUACGUGGUGUAAGGUCAGGAGCUGAGCCACUGAGGGUGAGGGUGGGAUUGGAUUGUUUUUACUCAUCCUACACUAGGAUAAAUUGCUAAUGGAUCAGAGAUUUAAAGGUAAAAACUAAAACUGUAACAGUUCAAAAAAAUCAUAGGAGAGUUAUCUUGAAGUGGAAGUUUUCUGUGACUUAACAUUCAAAGGUUCCAAAAGAAACUACUAAUGAAUCCUAUUAAACCUGCAUGGCAAACUGGAAACAUACCUUUGCAGUCCAUAUCAGAGAGAGCUAGUCUCUCUGAUAACAAAGUAUGCACAGAAAUUCAUAGAGAAGAAGCCUGCAACUCAGGAUAUGAACACACAGUUCAUAGAAAAAAAUCAGCAGGUAAAAUAUGUUCAUUGUCUCAUGAUUAAAGAAAUGCGAUUUUAUCAAGUUGGCAGUAAUCCAAAAUUUUAGUGGCAUUUAGUUUGAUGAGGCUGAGAAAAAAUGUGCUUUUGCUCCCACUGGCGAAGAGAGAAUGAGUUGUCACUGUGUAGGGUAGAGGGGCACUGGGAGGUGUACAUGUGAAUGUGUGUGGUGUGCAUGUGAGCAUGAAUUUGAAGCAUGUUAUGUCUUUGACCCAGUAUUGCCUCUUCUUGGAAUUUAUCCUACAGAUACACCUACACACAUAUGGGGUACAGGAUUAUUCUUGGCCCUAUUGUUUAUUGCAAAUGUGGAAAUAACCUAAAUGGUCAGUAUUAGAGGAUUAAAAUUAAAUCACAUGCAAUGGAAUACCUACCUACUACUCAGCAGUUUAUCUAUGCAGCUAUUAAAAAAAAAAAAGAAUGAGGAAGUGCUCUGUGAUCUGAUACACAAACAUUUAUGACAUUGGUUAAAUACAAAAAGCAAGGAACACUGUGGUGUUUAAAAUGUGCUGUAUUCCUUGGAGAUUUUAUAUAUAAGAAACUCUGAAAGGGGAGUUCCCAUUGUGGUGCAGUGGAAACAAUCCAACUGGUAACCAUGAAGUUGCGGGUUUGAUCCCUGGCCUGGCUCAGUGGGUUAAGGAUCCAGAGUUGACAUGAGCUGUGGUGUAUGUCACAGAUGUGCCUCAGAUCCUGCAUUGCUGUGGCUGUGAGUAGGUGGCAGCUGUAGCUCAGAUUUGACCCUUUGCCUGGGACCUUCCAUAUGCCACAGAUGUGGCCCUAAAAAAGAAAAAAAAAAAAAA